GUAUAAUUAAUAAGAUUACGCAGAAAGGAAUUAGCAUCCAGAAAGUGAAGCUGCAAAGGUAAAGGGUAAAGGUGAAGCCACUGACAGAGUGAUAAGCCAUUAAAAAUUGUUCGAGCCCAAACAAAGAUUCCCACUAGGAACGACUUUCUUUGGUCUGCGUUCUCAGCCUCAGGUCUUUUCUAUAAAAUUAUCAUCUUUCUGCGACUUCGGUAUUUGGUGUGUCACCUGAUUCUUGCAAUGUGUUUGUUUGAUCAAGCUGAUUCUUGCAAAUCUUAUCUCCUCAAUUGGUAACUGUGAGGAGCUGAAUCUCAAUCAACACCAAGACAUGGAAGUCAUUUUAGAGAAAAAAGACGCUGGUGAUUGGAUUUACAGAGGCGAAGGCGCUGCCAAUCUUGUUCUCGGUUACAACGGAUCCACCCCCGCUUUUAUUGGGAAAGUAAUGCGUCUACAGAAAGCUCCAGUUAAUGGGUCAAAGUCCAUGAACAGUCCCACUGCAUUAACCGUGCAUGAACGUCUUCUGUGGAAGGACACGGAGGACAUUGUAGCUACCUCUAACAAAGAACUCGCUUGUCAACUGUUUGUGAAGCACAUCAUGAGCCCUCUAUUGGGUUCCACAUACGUUGAUUCCGGGAUGCGUGUCCUUGCUUCCAAGGAAUUCUUGGAGUCGGUUGAGAAGAACAUAAUUUCUCAGCGUCCUGCUUCUCGAGUUGACGCCGCUAAAGUUGACACACAAUGUGAUUCUGUCCUUCUUAUGUCUGAUCAUUCUCUUUUUCCUCGUGGUACUCAUGAAGUUGAACCCUGUAUAUCUGUGGAGAUAAAGCCAAAAUGUGGAUUUCUGCCAUCUUCAAAGUUCAUUGAUGAAGGAAAUGCCAUUAAACGGAGCAUUACUCGUUUUCAGAUGCAUCAAGCUCUGAAGUUGCAUCAAGGAGAGGUAUCAGAAUAUAGUGAAUAUAAUCCACUUGAUAUGUUCUCUGGAUCCAAGGACAGAAUACAUAAAGCUAUCAGGGAUCUCUUCUCAACCCCGCAGAAUAACUUCCGUGUGUUCUUGAAUGGUUCUCAAAUAUUUGGGGGUUUAGGUGGUGGUGCAGACAGUACCAAUUUUGUGACUCGAGGAAAAUUUGAAGAUGCACUCAAGUGUGUCAUUCAGGGAGGUGAUGGCUUGCGCACAAUGAGUUUUCUACAGCUUGUUGCUGAAACAGUUCAUAAUUCUGGAGUGUUGGAUCGGCUCCUUGAGGUCCAGAAACUUGAUAACCUUGACAUUGAUGGGGCUAUCCAUGCGUAUUAUGACAUUGUUUCAGAGCCUUGCAUGGUAUGCAGAGCAUUCGGUAAAGAAAAAAUGUCACAGAGAUAUCUUUCAUUGCAUUCCAUCUCUUUGGAUGAAAGCUUGAAGAUUGUGAAGGACUUUUUGAUAGCUGCUACUGCGAAGGACUGCAGUUUGAUGAUUAGUUUUAGACCAAGGAAAGAUGGGAAUACAGGAUCUCCAUAUAAUAAUUUGUAUCUAGAAUCAAGCAACCAAUUUUUUGAUUACAAGGUGAAUUUCAUUGACCUGGAUUUGAAACAAUUGAAGAAAAUGGAAGAAUAUUAUGAGUUGGACAAAAAAAUAGUAACCUACUACAAUCGAAUGGUGGAAACUGAGGAAAGACAAAAGAAAAAUACAAGCACAAUGGCUCUUAAAACUGCAAAUUGAGAUUUGUUACAGUGCCAUGGGGGAUACUUUACUUCAAAUUAUGAGGAAAGUGAUGUAUCAACUAACUUCAGUGUGAUUCCAUCAAAGCCCACAUGGCCUAUUAAUUCAGACAGUUGGAUUUUCACAUUGUGGUAUUAGUACUACUAUAGAAAAGAAGAAAAAAAGACCAGGGCAUCCUUGGUAUUUUCUAAUUGAAAAUGCGUCUGCUUUAGCAACGGUAAACAUAAGGUUCUUACAGUUUUGAACAAUGGAACCAAACACAUUUAGUUUUUAGCAGUAACUUAUGACAUUUUCCACUUCUGUCUGAUGUACAAAGUGUGAUUUGGAGUUCUUUUUUGUAACUACAUUGCUAAACCACGAACAUUCAAAAGAAAUGAUUUGGAAGAAUCAAUGAGCCUGAUGCUGAGACAUGUUUCUAGACCAGCGGUAAGACUAAUAUGGAAGGCUCUGUGAACUCUGGUAGUUCAGCUUUGGUAUUUUGAUCAGCUUUAUAUGUGGAAUAUAAAGGCCGUGGGUUGGCUACAUCAUGUGCUGAACAAUGACCUCCUGAGCUG